AUCAAGGUGCUUAAAUGUGAACUGAAAUCCACACAGUGCUUCAACAAGUCCAAUCUUGUGCGUCAUAUGCAAGUCAUUUCCAUCCCGCUGGAAGACCUAAAAAAUAAAAACAGGAGUCAAAAUCAACUGCGAUGCUACGUUUCAACCAGUAUUACAGAAGAAAGACGACAGGAACAUGUAGAGCUAUGCAAAACUGAUUGACAAAUUAGCAGUCAUUGACACAGCUUUGAAAAGCUUACGAAGUACCUAAUUUUCAGAUAACCAACAUUAUGUCCUUAAUAUGUGACUGGAAUUUAAAUUUGUACCAAAUGCUAUUCUUUAUGUCACAACAGAACUUCCCCCCCACCAUCACCAUUCCAUUCAACAUUUUUUCCAGAGUAUAACACACAAACUAUUUCUUCUUUCAUCGUAGUAAUACCUGGCCUUUCUAAACAAAAGCAUUCAAAAAAAGAAGCAGUCACCUCAACUCUGGCCUAAGGGAGUUUUAACACAGAAAAAGACAAAUUGCAAUAUUUAAUGCAAAAUUGCAAUGUAUAUACUCCAGAAUACAGUAGGCAUAAGCCUUAACAAACUAGUAUAAAAUAAUCAUGUGUCUUAGUUUUGUUAAAUGAAUCAGUAACAUCAGCAUUCUGUGUUAUAUUUCCACAACCACAGUAGCAGAGAUAGAAAGCACUAUCUGGGGAUUUUAAUAGGACUUCCCUGCCGUGUCACAAGACAUUGGUAAAAAAGCAACACCUAGCAUUUUGUUAGCAUCACAAGCAAAGCAGAUUGAAGUUAACAUCCUGAAUGGCUCUUCACUGCAUCCACUAUAUCAAAGUUAGCCUGAGCUUACCCGAGAAAGCUACCUUUUAUUAGCAUUAGGAGACACCAGAAUCUGUAUGUCCUCUGGCUACAGACUUGCAAAGUUUUUUCUGGCUCACCAUGAAAGCCAUGUUACUUGCUAUAAAUCUAUUAAAAGCUAUUUACCAUCUCUCCCAGAGCUGCAGCUAUAUGAAUUACUUUAAAAUGAACAGCCAUCUAUAUCACUUAAAUAUGAAAGACUAGGAUAAAAGGCAUUUAAAAUAUAAACUCAAAAGCAUUACCUCAUUCUCCUUUUCUUGGAGUAAGAGGACAAUAUCUCCUGGUUCCACACCUGGAGCCUGAUCUGCUUCUCCACUGAAUGUAAUUCUUUGCCCAUGUUUCAUGCCUUUGUCUACAUGGACUUCAAGUAUUUUUACCUCUUUGAUCACCUUCUUCCCUUCACAUUUUUUACAGCGGUCUUUUUCAUUAAUUACUUCACCUAAAGAAAGACAAAUUUUGAGUUCAGAGAUUUCCUCAUAAUUGCAUCAGAUUCUGAAGAAUAACUAUUUUAAUGUAAGCUGAAGAAUACAUGCAACACAACUAGUGAUUUAGAUAUUGCUUUAUGAAUUCCUCACAAGAGGAAAGGCUUAAUUUACCCUAGCUAGAAGAGGGGGAAGACAAAAAAAAAAAAAGGAGGGGGGGGGCGAGGCAGGGAAUACAAAGGUACACAUAACCUUCCAAGCUGUCUUAUCAAGGAUUUUGAAAAGAGUGCUUUAGAGAAAGGCAAAACAAGACUUUGUCUAUAGCUUCUACCGUUCCUUAAGUUUUGUCUCCUGUAUCCUUACCACUCGACUUACUACUCUUAAAAAAAAAAAAAGCCUACUUCUCCAUUCCUUGUUAUGCUGGAGGAUGACAGCUAUAAGAGAAAGGAUGAAGCUAAAACCAAACUGAAGCAUCUCCCCUCCUUUAAAAGUCAGAAUACAAUUUUCAAACUAUUUCAGUGAAUUUAGGAAGCUUAGUUCCACUUCUGUUAACAGUGAAAAAAGGAUUACUGGGUUCUGUUCACUGACAGCCACAUUUUACAAUAUACCACCACCACCACAAAGUACUAUGUAAAUGAAGCCAGUAGAACUAGAAAGUCUUGCAUACAAAAUGGGGGGAAGAUAGCUGGUCAAAUCACAGUUUCAAGCAAGAGCAAUAUAUAGGUUUUCCCAUGGAAAGGAUCUAACUUUUUCUGACACAUAAGGGAUUUCACUUUUAUACUCUGAAACUGAAUAGUUUUUCCACAUUGUCCAUCACCUCUAGCAAGGCAAACUGAAGGAUGACUAUCCAAAACAGCUUAAAUUCUCUGUUCCACUUAAUCUUUAUUUUUCAAGUAAGCUAUUGUCUUUGUACAGGCUAACCAAAGCAUUAGGCCACAUGAACUGUACAAUUUCAGUACUUGUUUCCAGUACUGCUCUAAGUGCCACAAGCAGAUGCACUUGGCUUAAGACAUUAAACUUGCCAGCUUAAACAACCUUUCUGUGAAACAAAAUAUAACAUUAUGAUGCAGUUGAGACUACUGAAUAGGUAGGUUAGGUAUGUAAACUGUGAAAACAAUAUAUUCAAAGACAACAUCAUUUAUGAAAUGUUUUGACUAGUCACAAAAUACAACUCUCUGAAAUUCCCAAGUAUCAAGAAGAAUAAAAACAUCCACAAGGUGAUGUUACUACUCUGGAAACUGCAGAAGAUCUAAAAAGGAAUCACAUGAAGUGCAGAUCUUGUGCUGAACUUGUUCCCCCAAACACAACCAAUUCAGCAAAACAUAUCUUCUUAAUUUGAAGUAGUUAAAAAUGGAAACCUAAAGUUGGAUUUUAACUUAAACCUGUCCUUGGACAUUAGGAGUCUGCAAAAAAGCCAAAAGCUCCUAAAACAACAAAAUCUUGGUUUUUACUUUUAACACAAGAGUAAUAGCAAUAAGUAAUAUUCACAUCUAAGUGUUUUUAAAAACAAUCAAUCCCUACUGCUCAAGCUUCCAGGCUGCUUUUCAGUACAUUAAACACUGUAAAUCUUGCUGUUCCAAGUAAAAUGAUUUCUCCAUCUUGACAGCAGAUUGAGACCCAACUAACUAGGUGGGAGCAAAACUGUCCUGGAUAAGUUCCUCCUGAGAUUUAACCAGGAGGUUGAAUCCAACUAAAUGCAUUUAGUAACACAGAAUAGCUUGGCCUACCUUCUCCGUUGCAGUCAGAGCAUACGGACUGCAUCUGCUGAACCAUUCCAGGAGCCAGCUGUCUGAUCAUGAUACGUACACCUCUACCCCGGCAAGCAUUACAUUUCUGAACAGCUCCAGCCUUCCCUCCCUGCCUAGAAUAGCAAGCACCAGUUGCAUGAAAAGUAAGUUUUUCAGAAACAUACGACAAA